rnacentral:rRNA from 1 species
CAGCAGCCACGGUAAUACGUAGGUGGCAAGCGUUGUCCGGAAUUAUUGGGCGUAAAGGGCUCGCAGGCGGUUUCUUAAGUCUGAUGUGAAAGCCCCCGGCUCAACCGGGGAGGGUCAUUGGAAACUGGGAAACUUGAGUGCAGAAGAGGAGAGUGGAAUUCCACGUGUAGCGGUGAAAUGCGUAGAGAUGUGGAGGAACACCAGUGGCGAAGGCGACUCUCUGGUCUGUAACUGACGCUGAGGAGCGAAAGCGUGGGGAGCGGACAGGAUUAGAUACCCCAGUAGUCCCUGUCUCUUAUAC